UACAGAGGGGGCAAGCGUUGUUCGGAAUUAUUGGGCGUAAAGGGCGCGUAGGCGGCCGGAUAAGUCUGACGUGAAAUCCCUCGGCCUAACCGGGGAACUGCGUUUGAUACUGUCCAGCUCGAGUCCGGGAGAGGGUAGUGGAAUUCCCAGUGUAGCGGUGAAAUGCGUAGAUAUUGGGAGGAACACCGGUGGCGAAGGCGGCUACCUGGACCGGUACUGACGCUGAGGCGCGAAAGCGUGGGGAGCGAACAGG
rnacentral:rRNA from 1 species